AGCGUACACGGUGGAUGCCCUGGCAGUCAGAGGCGAUGAAGGACGUGCUAAUCUGCGAAAAGCGCCGGCGAGGUGAUAUGAACCUUUGACCCGGCGAUGUCCGAAUGGGGAAACCCAGUGCAAUUCGUUGCACUAUCGUUAACUGAAUACAUAGGUUAACGAGGCGAACCGGGGGAACUGAAACAUCUAAGUACCCCGAGGAAAAGAAAUCAACCGAGAUUCCCCCAGUAGCGGCGAGCGAACGGGGAGCAGCCCAGAGUCUGAAUCAGCUUGUGUGUUAGUGGAAGCGUCUGGAAAGUCGCACGGUACAGGGUGACAGUCCCGUACACGAAAGCACACAGGCUGUGAACUCGAAGAGUAGGGCGGGACACGUGGUAUCCUGUCUGAAUAUGGGGGGACCAUCCUCCAAGGCUAAAUACUCCUGACUGACCGAUAGUGAACCAGUACCGUGAGGGAAAGGCGAAAAGAACCCCGGCGAGGGGAGUGAAAAAGAACCUGAAACCGUGUACGUACAAGCAGUGGGAGCACCUUCGUGGUGUGACUGCGUACCUUUUGUAUAAUGGGUCAGCGACUUAUAUUCUGUAGCAAGGUUAACCGUAUAGGGGAGCCGAAGGGAAACCGAGUCUUAACUGGGCGUUAAGUUGCAGGGUAUAGACCCGAAACCCGGUGAUCUAGCCAUGGGCAGGUUGAAGGUUGGGUAACACUAACUGGAGGACCGAACCGACUAAUGUUGAAAAAUUAGCGGAUGACUUGUGGCUGGGGGUGAAAGGCCAAUCAAACCGGGAGAUAGCUGGUUCUCCCCGAAAGCUAUUUAGGUAGCGCCUCGUGAACUCAUCUUCGGGGGUAGAGCACUGUUUCGGCUAGGGGGCCAUCCCGGCUUACCAACCCGAUGCAAACUACGAAUACCGAAGAAUGUUAUCACGGGAGACACACGGCGGGUGCUAACGUCCGUCGUGAAGAGGGAAACAACCCAGACCGCCAGCUAAGGUCCCAAAGUCAUGGUUAAGUGGGAAACGAUGUGGGAAGGCACAGACAGCCAGGAUGUUGGCUUAGAAGCAGCCAUCAUUUAAAGAAAGCGUAAUAGCUCACUGGUCGAGUCGGCCUGCGCGGAAGAUGUAACGGGGCUAAACCAUGCACCGAAGCUGCGGCAGCGACGCGUAUGCGUUGUUGGGUAGGGGAGCGUUCUGUAAGCCGUUGAAGGUGUGCUGUGAGGCAUGCUGGAGGUAUCAGAAGUGCGAAUGCUGACAUAAGUAACGAUAAAGCGGGUGAAAAGCCCGCUCGCCGGAAGACCAAGGGUUCCUGUCCAACGUUAAUCGGGGCAGGGUGAGUCGACCCCUAAGGCGAGGCCGAAAGGCGUAGUCGAUGGGAAACAGGUUAAUAUUCCUGUACUUGGUGUUACUGCGAAGGGGGGACGGAGAAGGCUAUGUUAGCCGGGCGACGGUUGUCCCGGUUUAAGCAUGUAGGCGGAGGUUCCAGGUAAAUCCGGUACCUUUUAACGCUGAGGUGUGAUGACGAGGCACUACGGUGCUGAAGUAACAAAUGCCCUGCUUCCAGGAAAAGCCUCUAAGCAUCAGGUAACAUCAAAUCGUACCCCAAACCGACACAGGUGGUCAGGUAGAGAAUACCAAGGCGCUUGAGAGAACUCGGGUGAAGGAACUAGGCAAAAUGGUGCCGUAACUUCGGGAGAAGGCACGCUGAUAUGUAGGUGAAGCCCCUGCGGGUGGAGCUGAAAUCAGUCGAAGAUACCAGCUGGCUGCAACUGUUUAUUAAAAACACAGCACUGUGCAAACACGAAAGUGGACGUAUACGGUGUGACGCCUGCCCGGUGCCGGAAGGUUAAUUGAUGGGGUUAGCGGCAACGCGAAGCUCUUGAUCGAAGCCCCGGUAAACGGCGGCCGUAACUAUAACGGUCCUAAGGUAGCGAAAUUCCUUGUCGGGUAAGUUCCGACCUGCACGAAUGGCGUAAUGAUGGCCAGGCUGUCUCCACCCGAGACUCAGUGAAAUUGAACUCGCUGUGAAGAUGCAGUGUACCCGCGGCAAGACGGAAAGACCCCGUGAACCUUUACUAUAGCUUGACACUGAACACUGGUCCUUGAUGUGUAGGAUAGGUGGGAGGCUUUGAAGCGUGGACGCCAGUCUGCGUGGAGCCGUCCUUGAAAUACCACCCUUUAAUGGCUGGUGUUCUAACGUAGACCCGUGAUCCGGGUUGCGGACAGUGUCUGGUGGGUAGUUUGACUGGGGCGGUCUCCUCCCAAAGAGUAACGGAGGAGCACGAAGGUUAGCUAAUCCUGGUCGGACAUCAGGAGGUUAGUGCAAUGGCAUAAGCUAGCUUGACUGCGAGAGUGACGGCUCGAGCAGGUGCGAAAGCAGGUCAUAGUGAUCCGGUGGUUCUGAAUGGAAGGGCCAUCGCUCAACGGAUAAAAGGUACUCCGGGGAUAACAGGCUGAUACCGCCCAAGAGUUCAUAUCGACGGCGGUGUUUGGCACCUCGAUGUCGGCUCAUCACAUCCUGGGGCUGAAGUAGGUCCCAAGGGUAUGGCUGUUCGCCAUUUAAAGUGGUACGCGAGCUGGGUUUAGAACGUCGUGAGACAGUUCGGUCCCUAUCUGCCGUGGGCGCUGGAGAAUUGAGGGGGGCUGCUCCUAGUACGAGAGGACCGGAGUGGACGCAUCACUGGUGUUCGGGUUGUCAUGCCAAUGGCACUGCCCGGUAGCUAAAUGCGGAAAAGAUAAGUGCUGAAAGCAUCUAAGCACGAAACUUGCCCCGAGAUGAGUUCU
rnacentral:rRNA from 3 species